CCCUCAGAUCCACCUCUGCCGGUCUCCUCUCCACCCCCAAAACCAACCUCCGCAGCUUUGGGGAUAGAGCUUUCUCCAGGGCUGCUCCCAGGCUGUGGAACUCCCUCCCCCCUCCACUGACAGAUGAGUCAACGUAUCUGUGAGAGAGAGCAGCUCUGACAAAAUAGACUAUGAUGGGCCGCCACAGUCCAAGUAACUCAUUGGAAACACUGCAAACACCACCUCAAAAGUCAGGCUGUCCACAGCAAAAUCUAAUGCUAAAAAUCGGAGUCAACACAUAUCUUGCAAGAAAGUAAGAAAACUGCCACAAUGCGGCUACUGUAGAGUUCAGCAGAUUUGUUUUUCCAGAGGAAAAACAUAGCUCAAGCAAGCACAUGUUUCUACCUCUGAUCUUGUGUAGAGCCACCUGUCCUAUGUCUUUCUUCUUACUCUAGCUGCUUUAAUCUAUCCUUCCCCCCAGCCGAGCAUUUCCAAUAACUUCCUCCCUCCCUGAAGAUGCAAAAAGAUUUCAAAUGACCGAAAUGAUUCUCUCUCCUGACCCCCUCAGAAGCACUGGAGGAGAGACCAUUGAUUUCAUCAGGUCUUACCUCUCCCCCCGACCUCCUUUCUAGACAAAGUGGAGUAUCUUCACCUGUUCUGUUAUUACACCUCCACAUCUUAGUGGCUCCACUAUUAAGUGUGAGCUGAUUGGUUUAGCUGGUGGAGUCAUGAAGAGGAGAAGGGAGUGAUAAAGGACAGUAUUAAUCAGUGGGUAAAAAUGACCAGAGCUGAGUCAGAACUGUGAGAGCUCUACCUGCUUACAGUAGCGAGAGGGUGGAACAAAAAUUUGUAUUAUAGUGUGAGUAAUUUUCUUUGUGUACAUUUGAGUGGAGAGCCUGGUCAACAUACAGUACGAAAAAGAAAAAAAUAAGCAGUGCGCUGACUUUACAAAGUUUUGUUUUGUAGUUGUGUGUGAUGAGUUAUGCAAAAAAAUUGAAUGUGUGUAUUCUAUGUAGCUGUGCUAACAGACAUUCAAGGACUGGCUAAGAAUCUAUGGUUCCUCUUGCUCCAUCCAUCUGCGUGGUUGAAGGUCUUCUCAGGUAUGUAGCCUGCCACUUCAUGCACACAGAUCUACAGCCGCAAUCUACAGGUGACGGUUAGGCCCCAUGGCCUGAGGUCGCCUGGAGGGAAAACGAGCAGGCUCCCGAUGGUAGUGGAUAGGCCUUUCAGCAGGGUGGCCAAUAGAGUGAGACCGUGGCCCAGAGGCCCUGGGGGCCAAUGGAGAACCCCUAACCCUGUGAGGGGGGGGGGGGGCAUAUCACUGCGUGGACCUGAGAACUGUCGCCUGCUCUGACUGGCUUGUAUAGUCCCCUCGAGUAGCUGUAGAGCAGCGGAGAAUAACAUCUCCCCUGGUUCCACUGGAACCUUACGGAGGGUGCUCCUACACGUCUCUGACAAGGGCGACUGAGCAAGCCAGGUCCUCAUCAGGGGAAAAAAAUGAGGUACGCAAUAGUCGGCCCAAUAGCUGGCAUGUGGUCAAGACUGAAUUUUGCCCCAUACUGCAUGGCUGCCAAAGUCCAGCCAUCCGAUGUAAUGUGGGUGAAAAUGUUAGUGUUCCUCCAGCAUGAAAGGAACUCCUUCAGAUAAUCAUCAGUGGGAGGAACUGUGAAUGUGGCAGGGGCUAGAGUGCGCCUAAAGAAAGCACUAGCAGGCGGCAGCUCUGACUGCUGUAGAUCCAGCUGCAGGCGUGCUAGUGCUGCACGAAUGAUGGACGGCCCACUUCCGUACAUUCCGAGCGGACGAACGAGAGCCAAGUUCAGAGGCCCGGGAGGGCGCCUCAUCCCCCAAGUCAUGAAAGUGAGUGGCAGAAGCUGCCACUGAAAUAAUAUCCUCCAUACAUGGGUCUUCUGAGAGACCCUCCCUCAAAUGUCUGAGGCCGAGGGAGAGAGGUCUUGGCCAUUCCACCAAGUUAGACUGAGCAAGAGCACUCUGCUUACUAUAAGAACAGUACCCAAAACAAUGUGUAAUGCUUCAGUUACACGUUGAAUGCGGCUUCGUCCAACAGAAUCACCUUCUUCACAGCUGCGGAGAAUUCUCUGCCGGGGCUGAUCAUGAAUGGAUCACGCACAAAUUCAAUAUUCCCUGGAAAUUUAAAAGUCAUCAAAUCGGGCAUAGAAAUAAUCCCUCAGCUGUAUGAUGAAUUUCUUCAUAUUCUCUGUGACCCUGCUCAUACCCACUGUCUUCAGUUUGUUCAUAAAGGCGUCAAGAUUUCCCACCAAAUCCACCACCGAUUUUUCUUUUCCCUAUAGUUUGCAGAUUGAGUGCAUUCAAAAUAUGUCUGCUAAAAACGCAAUGCUGCACAUGUAUUGUCUAUCUUGCAUGAUGUACAAUUGGUCAGCUGCUCAUUUUGAUUUAUUUUGCUUGAGAAAAUCCACAACUUGAUCCCUGAAUUCAAUGAAGCGCUCCAAGGCUUUGCCCUUAUUCAGCCAGCGCACAUCGUUGUGGAGUAAGAGGUCAUUGUGAGUAGCUUAAGAUUCCAGGACAAAUUUGCGGAACAGGCGAUGCUGCGUACUUGAAUUCCCUCUGAUGAAGUUAAUUAUCUUCAUUGUUUUAUCUAUAACCUCUUUCAGGUCCCCACUUAGUUUGGUGCACAGCACGCUUUGGUGAAUGAGACAGUGGGGUGCAUACAUUUUGGGAGGGACAUUCUUAAUUCUGCUCACCAGACCCCUGCUUUUGCUGACCAUGGCCAGAGCGCCAUCUGUGACGAUUAAGUUCACUUUUUCUAAUGACAAGCCAUGUUUUUCAAAAAGCUCCUCCAGUUUUCCAAAUAUAGUCAUCGGUUGAGCAUCUCAAAUGUCUCCAUCGCAGUGUAAGAGAUGGCCCUGUAGGUCAAGCCUAGCCAUUAUAAUACUGGUAGGAGGACGAUGCUAUGAUGUCGCAUGACAAUAAUAGAUUUUAAAACAUGCUAGUUCAAACCCUGUUUGAACCUCCAGCUGACGGGUGAGAAAUGUAGCUACCUCUAGAGGGUUACACAUCACACGACAAUAAGGGGUGUGUGAUAUGACAAUAUUAGAUCAUAAACACUUAAAAUAUGUGUCUGUCAUCUGCCUUUAAGGAAAGGUCAUUACUAUCGUUCUACAGUGAAAAUCAGUUGAAAAUCUGUUCUUUUGACCAAUAGUAAACUUUAUUAACUUUUUCCUCAGUUGGGGACCAGGGACUGUAAUGAGCCAUAUUUUAAUCCGAGUCUCUCCCUUCUCCCUUGGAAUGAUCAGACCAGAGAAUCUGCAACACAAUGAACCAGAUCCAGAGACGGAGACAGAUGAAGCUGCAAUACAGGACAUUUAGAAGAAGUUGGAAAAUCCAAAGGGGCAUGGAGCCAAUCCCAGCUGACAUUGGGCGAGAGGCGGGUUUCACGACUGUACAGGUCACCAACGUAUCGCAGGACCAACAUGAAGAGACAAACAACAAUUCAUACUAACAUUCACACCUAUGGUCGAUUUAGAGUUUCUAGUCAACCUAACCCCAAACUGCAUGUCUUUUGACUGUGGGAGGAAAAUCAGACAACCUGGAGAGAACCCACACAGACACAUGCAGAACAUACAGGGAGAACUCCACACAGAAAGGCCCUGGUUGGUCUGAACCAAUAACUUUCUUGCUGUGAGGCCACAGUGCUGGCAAGGGAUUUCCAAAGUUCAGUGACCAUUCAUGAACCCUAGGUAUACCAGAGGGGAACCCUUAGGAACUUCUAGGACUUAGAAGAAAGCCCAACAAAUCAGCAAUUUAAAUGUCAUAUUUAACAUAUUUCAAUUAAUAAUAAUUAUCUCUUUAAUUCUAAAUAUUUGCUGAUUUUCAAUCCGUUUUUCCUUCAGAAAUGACAAUGCAAGUGACUUCAAACUUUGAAAAUUUAGUUUUCCAAUCAGAUUUAGUUGUUGUCUGUAGGCAGAAAAAAGGUUACAGCUCGCUCACUCAUAGGUUAGGACUUCAUGCCCGGGACAGAAGUCCGGAGCUUGUGUGUUCAUUUAGUAAGUGAUGGGUAAAUCAGCCAAUCAGAUCUUGCUAUUGUAGUGGACGGGACAAAAAAACAACAUCCUACGCCUUCCAGAAGGCAGCUUCGCGCUCACUGACAUCUAGAUGGGUCAGUGAGCGCGAAGCGUUAAGAAGUUCUAUCUAACGUGUGUACUCACACCGUAACGCUGUCAUGUUUUAAAAUUUUUGGAUUUUAGUGGAAUUUGAGGCAAUGUGUUCCUGGCGACGAUUAUGUGUGCAUAUGGGCCUGUGUGUGCGUGCAAAUCUUUAAAAAAAAAUACCCCCAAAACAUUCUGGCUUUGCAACGUUGAAGGCCCAGUGCCAGACCCCAUGGUUCGCUACUGAGGUUGAUAAACAAAGCUUAACACAUGCUUCAGUCAGAGUUGAGCUGGUGAUCCACAGCAGUCUUGAGUUUGUGGAUUUAUAUCAACAACUACUAUUCUUUCAUUUUUCUUAAUAUAAAUUACCUUGCUACAUGAUAUACUGUCAAACAGUUGUUUUGUAGGGCCGAAAUAUGCAUUAUUACAAAUGUCAUUGUGAUUUUGAUUGAGGUUAUCUUACUAAAAUCUUUGUAUAUUCUUGAUAAACUAAAAUAUUAAAGAAAAGUUUAAGUGCAUCAGAGUCUUAAAUGCCUUUGCGAGCCCCUGUUCCAAUGGUAUCAGAUUAAAAAUAAUUAGCUCAAAGGCAUCCUCACAAUUUAACACUGCUCUGCUCCUUAUACAAUUGAAGUGUUCUCCUCUCCAGGAGAAGCGAUCCUCGAACUUCCCCCUCAAUUAUCCUCAGUGGUCAAAGCAACAUUGCAAACAAAGAGAUGCUGUGGGAAAAGUUACAGAGACACAGUAGCUUGAUAGAGACAAAUUAUAAAUUGAAUUUCUAUCCUCAAGAGGUUGACGUUUUCAUUAAUUUGUUCUCACUGAAAACACUUGUUCCUUAAAUCCCCCUUGUGUCCAUUUUUUAUUGUUUGAAAACUUUAAUACCAAGCCAUAUUAAUUAAUGGAUGCUCUCUCAGCAGUGUGUAUCCAGGAGGAAGAAGAAGAAAUGCAGGACAUCAGGGAUCUAUUUGUCGAGAACAGUUUAAGUCUCCAGGCAGCUAUUUAAGAUACUGUCACAACACUGGCUUGUGUCUUCCCUUUUUAUCUCUCUCAUGUCUUCGCUUUACCUUCUUGUAUUACCCUGUCUGUACUUUUCAUGAUCUGUCCUGUUGUCCCUUGCAUACUGACUAGAGAGGAUCCGGCCCAGAGGGGCUCCCCCACUCAGACGUGCUGAAUCUCUCCAGGGGAGCAGUCCGUUUAGGCACGAGGAAGUGACCUGCACCCUCUCUCUCUGACGGGAGGAGAACACCUGUCUGACGUGAACCCAGCGCUGGAAUUUCCUUAUGCACAGCAAGCCCAGAGGCACUGCUGUGAUCAUGGAGGCCAUAAAUCCCAGUAGCUGUUGGCACUGAUGGAGACGCACUUUGUGAUGUAGCUGAAACAGCGAUAGACGAUUAGAUGAUAUUGUCCGGGAUGAUAACCAGGACCAAUUCUCUAUAGAAUCCAAUUCAAGACCCAGAAAACAAACUUUAUGACUGGGGGUGAGACAGCUCUUUUCCCGGUUUAUGACGAAACCAAGAGACUGCAGAUGAGCUAUUAGUCAGGAUUUGUGGACCCCCGUCCAGAUAUUCGAGGGAUCGUAUUCCCUGACCUCUGACAGCACUGCUUCUAGGCAUUUGGUGAAAAUGCUUGGCACAAGAGACGAGCCGAACGGCAGGACCUGAAAUUUGUAUGCUGUGCCCUCGUACUUAAAGCGCAGAAACUGUUUGUGCUUUGGCAGUAUAGCGAUGUGAAAGUAGCCAUCCUUUAGGUCCACUGUAGUGCACCCAUCCCGCGGUCGAACGGACUGCAAUACUUGGCAUCAGCAUCCUGAAUUUGAACUUUCUCAGGUAUCUGUUUAAUAUCCUGUGGUCCAGGAUAGGCUGAACCGCUGUCCUUUUUCGGUAUAACGAUGUAGCGGCUGUAAAACCCGCACUGGGACUCGUGCAUCGGGACAAUUCUUAUCGCUUGUUUCUCCAGAAAAGAGUGGAUUUCCUCUCACAAUACUGGGGGGGAUGAUGGAUGCACCUUUGACACCACAAUACCUCUGAACAGCGGAAGGCACUUCUUGAAUUGGAGCCUGUAGCCCUGGACUACAGUUCCCAUGAUCCACUGCAAAGCUGUGCAUGCUCCAACAGUCCGGCAACAUUCUCGUUCUUCGUCAGAGCCUCGUGUAGGUCCCGUAAAUUUUCAGCCUGAUAAGCCUGCAGCAUAGAGGCCGUAUUUAGUGCAUGAGUGGUCAGCCCCUGGCAUGGUAUAUUUUCUCAAGUUGAGAGACUGCGAACCUACACUGUUUGCUGGGGAGAGUGGGUUUGCUGCUAGUCGAGUGGGGCUUAGGUGCCAAGUGGAUAGCCAGCACCUUGUCCAUUAGAGGGAUGUGGGUUAGUCCAACGGACUCCAUACCCUCGAAAUCCAGGAAUUGGGUAAACGGCAGAGAGAGCUCCGUUCCUCACCAUCCUCCUCCUCUUCUCCGACAUCAGCGUCUCCAUCUGAGAAACCCCUGGGAUAACUCCUCGUGGGACAGUACACUUAGCGUUACCUAGUCAUCUUUAAGAACAGUAAAGUAGACAGGGUCCUCCACCAUUCCCGCAGCAGGGAAGACUUUGUCCAUCUGAUCAUCCCACAAUUGUCCAACUCUUCUGUCAUAGUCUGCGCACCCCAGUUCCAUCCACGAGGAGGACUCAUCUGCGUCAGACAGGAGAGUGUCUCCACAACCAAGGUGCUGAAUUUCUCAACACCUUGGACAGCAAAGCUACGCGUCUCUCCAAGGUUGUCCUCCGGAUUCGGCGACAGUGCGCACAGUUCUCCAGGUUGGCCAGUGCAGCUUUCGCAUGUAACAUGCCAAGACACACCGGGGCACGGCCAAUAUGUGGUCUUCUUUCUGGAUGAGCUAACUCUGCUAGACCAGCCAGGAGAGAUUUUUUUUUUCUUUUCUGGAGCCAUUUUACUUGCCAUGUUUGGUGAAUAUGACGAGGCCUGUUCGUACAAACUAACGGUACAAAGAAAAAUGUAAGAGAAAUUUAGGAUAAGAAUUCGAACAUGUUCUUGCAUGAGGCCCAAUGUUUGGCUGUUGCUGCAUUGACUUCUAGUAGCAGAAUGAUGAGCGUGACCUGCUGCCACCUUGUGACAGUGUUGUGUAUUGCACAAAAAUAACAAAACCACAAAGACUGUAUAAAAGUAUCUCACUACUUAAAGUAAAGCAACAUCUGGAAUAAUUAUCAACCUUUUGGAAAAGUUAAUACAUUAACAAAAACAAUGUGACCACAUAUUUUGUGUGUCACUGUAACAAUAAAGUUGACCAACAUAACAAACCAUGGAAUAUUCUAAUGAAAUGAUAAUUUACAAUAUAGUCCUUGUUGUUCUUGUUGUCAGAACCAACAAAUGAUUUGUCAUCUUAGAUUUCUUUAGCAAAUUAAUUCUGUCUUUUGUGAAUAUGGCAAUUUCCUUGUCAUUUCAUGAUCAAGUACACUUGAAAUGUUGAAACAACAUUUUGUGUGUCAGAUCUGGUACUUCAAAGAGCUCCUGGAGGAUUUGAAUGAACUCAGAUUUGAUCUAUUAUGUGUCACAGCAAUCAGCAGAGAAUAAUUUACAAAACUUACAUUUAUUAUGUGUUAGUAUGGAGUAUGUGAUACAUGGUGCAAGCUGGGAAGAAACAGUAGAGGAAUGGUUUUAAUACAUCUCUGAAACAGUGUGUGCAUAAGAGAGCACUUAUACGUUUAUUUAAACAACAUAAUGUGUCAUAAUAUUACAAAAAAUUAUUUCCGUUUAUCUUAAAUAAUUGCUUAAAAAUCCUUAUGUUGUGUAGACCUUUCUAAACCAUCGUCAGUUGUAUACAUGUACGUCCCCCCACUUUGUCUCUUUUGUCUGUCUGACCAUUUUCCUGUGUCAUCAUCACCUCGUGUCCCCUCCCCUCUGCCCCUCCCCACCCCUUUCCUCAGCAAGUUCUAUUUUAUUGCAUGUCAUAAUGAAAUCUCACUUGAUCUGCAACAAUCCACGGCUGCCUAAUCAACUUAACAAAGUCCUUCUUUGAUUUUUAAUUACUUCCUCUCAGGGCUCUUGCUAGAUUUAUUUUAUAGCCUUAUUUAAUACAUCCAUUGGCCGUGAUCAACCCAUCCACAGGCUGACCACACACACAAACACACACAAACACACUUAGAAGCUUAUGCAUGCUUUAAAGGUAUAUACACAUUUAUAGAUAAUUAGUGGAGUUAUGUUGAUCCUAUAUGGGUUACCAGAUUAGUAAAGACAUAGCAAGUUGGGACAAUUAUAACAAUGUCGGGUUAAGACAAGAUACUAUUGUGAUCCCUGUGGCGUAGCAGCAAAAAGUACAUACGAAUAUGACAAAGAAAAAAAAAGGAAUAUGUUAUAUAACUACAAAAUCAUGCAUAAAAAACUUGAUUUUAAUAUGCCCUGUACUCAUGGAAACGAUAGGCAAUCAACUGCAUCUUGAUCAAAUGCAACCUUUUCCAAGCAGUUUCCUCUAGUUCCUCCUGAGGUAUCCAGAAGCAUUACAGAAUGGAUCUUACAAUCAUUCCAUGGUGUCCUUGAUAUGCCCUAGAACAUCCAUUUGGAUUUGACUGGAAUAACUGCAAACUUUUUCCCUCUCAGCAGAACAAUCCACCGUAUUCUGGCAGAGUACCAUAGCCUUAAACUUAACAAUCAGCCCCAAACUCCUGCAAACAGUCUAAUUAAGUCAAUGGAACCACAUCAUCCACAAAAAGCCUAACGAAUUGCAACCUUGAGGCUGUCAGAUGUGAUCAUCUGUUUUUUGUUUGAAUGUACCUCAGAAAUCUGUCCGUAAAAGUCACAAAAACAUUACAAUGGACAGUCUUGGCCGAGAAGCACCCUUUGAGAACGUGAGUUACUUCUGAAGAUUAAUGGCAUGUUUGUAGGUGUUUUAUAGGUACAUGCAAGUCACAUGCUAAUGUACAAUAAACCGUUUUUUAAACAUAUCAAUGUAAUUAAAAUAAAUACAUGAAAUUAUCACUUAUGGUGUCCAACCUUUAUGGCCCUCCAUGUACAUUACAGUUAAUAAUGGAGGAAUGCAUUGUAUUUGCAAAUGAACUUCUAACUUGGUUCUAACACCAAAAUUGCCAAAUAUACAAACAGAAUAUUUUUUUAUGACAUGAAUAAACUUGUAAACAUGUGUAUUAAUAGCUUACAACACCUAAAAUAUCGACCCUUUUGGAUGUUACUGCCUCCGACCAAGGCCUGUCUCUGAUGCUCGCCCAUUCAUUGUUGUGCCACUUCAUGUCAAGCAAUGGACAGUACACAAUGUGACACACUGAUAAUUAUCACCUUAAAAUGAGCACUUAACCAACAAGUGGAGACCGUAUGCAUCAUAUGUUAGGUGAGAUCAGGGCUGAGAACAAUCAACAUGUUCUGACCAUAUUGAAAGGUUUUUAGUCCGUGUGUUGCACUCAACCGCCGAGGAGAUGUAUGACUUUUAUUAGCCCCUGACAAUAACUGUCAGCCAGCAUUUCAUAUUCAAAGUAAUGUGUAUAAUUACAGUUUUACGACCCAACUCUGAAUACAUUUAGACAGCAAUUUUAUACUUGAAUGUGAUGCUGUUCCACAGAUUAUCAAUAGUUAAUGUUUUCUCUGUCUCCUGAUAGCCACAGAGAGCAAGCGAGUGUGUAGACAGAGAGAAGAAGAGGGAGGUGUUAACCAAAGAGGAGAAGUUUAUUUUCUCUGUUAGGCAUAGCAGAUAGAGCCUUUAUUUACCAGGUUCAAGGCAUAAUUUUUUAAACAUUUUUUUUUAAAUAUAUCAAACUAGUUUUUGUUGAUCUCUAGGGUCAGAUAUAGGCAUUCAGUGUAAUUAAAUUUUGUACCUAAUGGUGAGCCACACUGUUGUACUGGCAGCAUGUUUUUUCAGUAACAAAAACACACAUUAAUGUCUACUGAAUCAAACGGUCACCCAGCACUAGGCUACACGUAAAUUAAUUUGGAGCUAAAUAUGCCGUAGUCCCCAACAAGUGCACUGUGUCCUGCUGUUUCCAGCUAUUUGAGGAAAAACAGGGAACUGUAUUUCUAAGGCAUUUUAAAUAAAACUUUUGUGUGCACAAUAAACAGAGUUUGCUGAUGUAAAUAAGGAGAA